AUACGGAGGAUGCGAGCGUUAUCCGGAUUUAUUGGGUUUAAAGGGUGCGUAGGCUGUGCGUUAAGUCAGGGGUGAAAUGCCGUCGCUCAACGACGGAGCUGCCCUUGAUACUGGCGUGCUGGAGUACGGAUGCCGUUGGAGGAAUGAGUGGUGUAGCGGUGAAAUGCUUAGAUAUCACUCAGAACACCGAUUGCGAAGGCAUCUGACGAAUCCGUAACUGACGCUGAGGCACGAAAGCGUGGGGAUAGAACAGGAUUAGAUACCCUGGUAUUCCACGCCGUAAACGAUGAUGACUAACCGUCGGCGAUAGACAGCCGGUGGCCAAGCGAAAGCGAUAAGUCAUCCACCUGGGGAGUACGUCGGCAACGAUGAAACUCAAAUGAAUUGACGGG
rnacentral:rRNA from 1 species